AAAUAUCCACGUCCUACGUCCGCAACCCUCAGCGCCAAAUGUCCCGCAAAGAAAAACUUAGGGCAGAAAAAAGUCUCACGCCGCCGCCGCCAUCGUUUGCCUGCGCCGCCGCCACCGCCACCGUUUGCCCGCGCCACCGCCCUUCCCGCGACGCCCCACCAGGCUACCACAACAGGACCUGCCCAGGCGUGCUCUUGAUUCACCGGUCUUCCCUGCUGGCCCUCCCCUUGGCCCCAUAUUUGUCUUCGAUUCGCCUCUGCUCGAUGAAGGACGACAUCAGCCUUGACCAAGGACUGUAGAGGUGGAUCCAUGAUCUACCAGCCCCGGUAAGGACGUAUGAGGAUGGUGGCGCCGUGAUGUGGGAUGAGGAUCAAGGGCCGGGCACCUAUGAGGAUGGAUGGGAUCGACUUGCUGUCGACGAAAGACGAGAUCAAAUAGCAGUUAUCUUUUCGGAGGGACGGAUCGACCCCACUGUCGAGAUAUGGAUGCGGGCAUCUUCCGUGCGCGGUUUUGCGUAUGCUUGAGCUGUAAGCUCUCUGCUAGCUCUAGAAAAUUGCUGAUUCAUUUGGUGAUUCAUCUUUGUUACUGAUCAUCGUAGUGCUUAUCGAAUGAUAUUAUGAUAAUGGAGCUUAUUUCAGUUAGAAACGUUGUUAGCUCUGCCUCUCAUGUAGUCUUUCUUGUAUGCAUGGAUGGGGCUGAACAUUCAUAAGCAGAAGAUUCUUAAUUUAAUUGGAUCAAAUUGUUUCAUAUAAUCUUCCCUAUGAUGACUUCAGGCUGCAUGGCUCCACUGUGUACUCUGUUUUGCAGAGAUUCCAUAGGCAGGUUUGGCUAUGCAGGUUUCUCCUGUCCAUAUGUAGCUCGGGUCAAUUUAGAGCUUUCGUAGCCAUUACCGGAGCUACAAGAAACCACCAUGUCUUCUAUAUCGUUCUGACUACUGGGUUGCUGCAACAAGUCGCUAUUGGUCAUGAUUGAUUCUUGUGUUAAAGAAGAUGGUUCUAAGUGGGCUACUGAAACAACGGCAAUAUUCCAAGAAGGCUAAGAACAUGGAGAGCACAAGGAACAUAUUCCUAAUCAGGCAACAACCUUCUUUGAUACAUUAUUUGUUCAUCGGAAGUCCUUGAAGAAGGAUGGAUACAACAGAUGCAGAGAUCUACAGGUUGUUUCCGGGCAUAUUGGAGAUGUCACAAUAAAUGUUCAGCCUUGUUAUCUGCAGAAAAAUAAAUGAUUGUCUGGUUUGGUUUUGGAUUAUUAGAAGUUCCAGUCAUGUCAUGAAUCAUGAGUAAGUUUGUAAAAUUCUUUCUUAUGAGGCCUGAUAGAUUGUCAUUCAGUAUGCUGCUGCCACUUAGUAAUGUAACCUCAUAAGAGGUGGAGAGUAUUUAUUCUCAGGAUGAGAGCAAUAAUUAGAUUUUCCUUUAAUGCUAAAACAUUAUCUUGGAUUUUUGUACAAAAUAAUAUGACUGA